rnacentral:rRNA from 1 species
GACGAGGGAUCCUAGCGUUGUUCGGAAUCAUUGGGCGUAAAGCGUGUGUAGGCUGCCAUUCAAGUCAGUUGUGAAAUCCCCGGGCUCAACCCGGGAAGUGCUUCUGAUACUGUUGGCUGAGUACUGGAGAGGAUAGUAGAAUUCCUGGUGUAGUGGUGAAAUACGUAGAUAUCAGGAGGAAUACCGGUGGCGAAGGCGGCUAUCUGGCCAUGUACUGACGCUGAGACACGAAAGCGUGGGGAGCAAACAGG